rnacentral:tRNA from 1 species
AUCUAAAUAGUUUAAAAAAAAUAUUGAUUUGUGAAAUCAAAGAUAUUAAUUUAAUUUUAGAUA